UCUCUCUCUCUCAUGAAUAAAUAAAUAAAAUCUUUAAAAAAUAAUAAAUUGGUUUUGAAAAAUAUUUUUGAAUCACCUAUAUAUCAGGCCACACAAAAGUAUUAAUACUGUAAAAGUAUGUGAAGGGUCUUUACCCCUGUCUUUGAGGAUACUUUUUUAUGUUUAGUGAGUUCAUAAAGGUCCCAAGAGUUCUUGUGUGAAGCUUUGUUGCAUUGAGGAUGAAAACAUCAAAAUCUGCUUAGGGUUUUUGGGUAUGUUUAUGAGGCUAAUUUCCUUUUAUGUAGCUUGCUUUUGAGUUGUUAUAAUUGAGCCAGUAGGUGUGUCGAUUAUUAAACUAAACCUCGCUUAUUACAUUAGUGGUUGUACUUGCUAUGCUGGCCACAGACUUGGGAGUUUGCUGUUAUGGAAAAUCCUCAAAGCUUUUGAGUUGGGACCAGUAGUUCCUGUUGCUCCUUUUCAGGAAAGAAAGAUUUGUCUGGCUCAAGGGGCUGCAAGCUGUGAUCUUUACUGAGCAAGUUGAGUCAGUUUCCCAUCCAAAAGACCACACUCACUAAAAGAUGCAGCCAUAAAAUAGAAUAUAAAAUUCUAAGCUUAUUUUUAGUCGUUUGUUUUAGUAUCAAAAGGCAGGAGGCACUUCCAGUUUAAAGAGUUGCUGCACACACCAUCUGGACAAUGUCAAAUUAAGGAAGACUGCAGGCUCCGGAGAGGCCUGCCUUCUGAGGAUCAUACCUUGUGGCACCAAUUAAGGGAUUUGGGGUUGGGUUGCUUGCAUACUAUGUUUAUGAGGCUCAUUUCCCACAAUCAUGGAGCUUGGGUAACCCAUAUUGUUCCUCCAGCUCCAAGCCAUGAUUCGUCUUUUAGAAUGAGAAAGCUAGUUAAAGGGAGCUUUCAGGAAUUGAGAGAGAGAAAGCAUGAGCCUGGGCUUUAUUUGCUGUUGCUGACACUAUUUAAUACAAAUGAAACCCGUGUAAGUAACAAAUUCUUCACAUAAUGGAAGGAAUAGCCUUGAUCAGAGGGAGCACUGCAAUGAGUGGGAUGAAUAGGAUACACGUCUGCCUCUUCACUGUGACCUGGCGCAAAUCUUUCCAUGCUUCCAAUUCCUCAUCUGUAGACUGUGAAUAACAAUAUGCUCUCAAGGGUAGCAGUGAGGUUUAGAGAUAGUGACUGUGACUUGCACCACACAGUACCUGUAGAUGGCAAGUACUAAAUACCUGCCGUUACAAUUUGUAACACACUUCCGAAUGUUUUCUUUCUGCUGUGCCUCCUAUGUCUGGCUUUCCGUAGGGACCAACCUAGAUACCCCUCUCAUGCCCUCGGAGAACUCUAUCCCACUGUAAUAUUAGCACAUAUGCCAUAUAUCAUUGAAGACUCCAUAGAGAAGUGUAUAUAGGAGAGUGUUUCACAUUAUCUACCUCUAGGGCAUAUGCACAGCUGGCACGCACGUGAAUGGAUGUCCAGUGUAAAAAUACUGAAAUGCCUCCAAACUGCUUGGUAAAUAACUGCUGUUCCAAGCCUCACCUUCCAGCAGCCCCCUCUGUCUCCCCAGCCUUUGCCAUGGAAAUUCCUGACUCUCUCCUAGGCACCACCAUGCUCCAGCAAAUAAAGGGCUGAUGUCUAGCACAGCUGGAGGCCUUGGAAAAAAACAAUCUACUUGGGGUUUUUGGGUAUGUUUAUGAGGCUAAUUUCCUCUUAUGUAGCUUGCUUUUGAGUUGUUAUAAUUGAGCCAGCGGGUGUGUUGAUUAAUUGCUCUGCUCCAGAGCUAUGGCUGGUUGGUAGCUGUUCUUAUUAAUUGGUGACUGUGCAGUCGGCCUCUCCUCCAAACAAGUGAUGUCAUUGUUAACAUGGGAUGUAUCAUCCAUUUCUCUCUUCACCCUAUAGAGUGGGUUCUGUGUGCAGGCUGCUGUAUUGUGGGAAUACUGAUCAUGGACAUGGUUAUACAUACUUGAAUCAGCCACAGCUCCCUGUAGACAACAGUAGCACAAGUGUAGAAGGAGAAAUUGGAAGUGUAUUGUUGUAAGGGCCUCACUCUAUAUGCAUAAUAUUUGAAUACAGACUAUGGUAAGUGAAUGUAUAUAAUAAACCCCAAGAAGCCACUAAAUAAAUAAAACAGGAAUAGCUAAUCAGCCAUAGUAGAGAGGAAACAGAAUCAUUA
rnacentral:lncRNA from 1 species